rnacentral:tRNA from 1 species
GGGGAUUUAGCUCAGUGGUAGAGCGCUUGCCUGCAAGGGCAAGGCCCUUGGUUCAGUCCCCA